rnacentral:rRNA from 1 species
GACGAACGCUGGCGGCGUGCCUAAUACAUGCAAGUCGAGCGAAGUUUUUCUGGUGCUUGCACUAGAAACACUUAGCGGCGAACGGGUGAGUAACACGUAAAGAACCUGCCUCAUAGACUGGGACAACUAUUGGAAACGAUAGCUAAUACCGGAUAACAGCAUUUCUCGCAUGAGAGAUAUUUAAAAGUUGGUUAUGCUAACACUAUGAGAUGGCUUUGCGGUGCAUUAGCUAGUUGGUGGGGUAAAGGCCCACCAAGGCGACGAUGCAUAGCCGACCUGAGAGGGUGAUCGGCCACACUGGGACUGAGACACGGCCCAGACUCCUACGGGAGGCAGCAGUAGGGAAUCUUCCGCAAUGGGCGAAAGCCUGACGGAGCAACGCCGCGUGAGUGAAGAAGGAUUUCGGUUCGUAAAGCUCUGUUGUUAGGGAAGAAUGGAUAUGUAGUAACUAUACAUGUAAGAGACGGUACCUAACCAGAAAGCCACGGCUAACUACGUG